rnacentral:snRNA from 1 species
GUGCUUGCUUCAGCAGCACAUAUACUGAAAUUGGAAUGAUACAGAGAAGAUUAGCAUGGCCCCUGCACAAGAAUGGCACAUAAAUUUGUGAAGCAUUCCAUAUUUUU